rnacentral:rRNA from 1 species
AAGGAAUAUUGGUCAAUGGACGCAAGUCUGAACCAGCCAUGCCGCGUGGAGGAUGAAGGUCCUCUGGAUUGUAAACUUCUUUUAUCUGGGACGAAACACUUCUUUUCUAAGAGGCCUGACGGUACCAGAUGAAUAAGCACCGGCUAACUCCGUGCCAGCAGCCGCGGUAAUACGGAGGGUGCAAGCGUUUCCGGAUUCACUGGGUUUAAAGGGUGCGUAGGUGGGUAUGUAAGUCAGUGGUGAAAUCCCCGAGCUUAACUUGGGAACUGCCAUUGAUACUAUAUAUCUUGAAUACCGUAGAGGUAAGCGGAAUAUGUCAUGUAGCGGUGAAAUGCUUAGAUAUGACAUGGAACACCAAUUGCGAAGGCAGCUUACUAUGCGGUGAUUGACACUGAGGCACGAAAGCGUGGGUAGCAAACA